rnacentral:rRNA from 1 species
CCUACGGGAGGCUGCAGUGGGGAAUAUUGGGCAAUGGCCGCAAGCCUGACCCAGCAACGCCGCGUGAAGGUAGAAGGCCCUCGGGUUGUAAACUUCUUUUAUUCGGGACGAAACAAAUGACGGUACCGAAUGAAUAAGCCACUGCUAACUACGGGCAAGCAGCCGCGGUAAUACGUAGGUGGCAAGCGUUAUCCGGAUUUACGGGGUGUAAGGGGCGUGUAGGCGGGAGAGCAAGUCAGACGUGAAAUUCCAGGGCUCAACCCUGGAACUGCGUUUGAGACUGUUCUUCUGGAGUGAUGGGGAGGCAGGCGGAAUGCCGGGUGUAGCGGUGAAAUGCGUAGAUAU